CCGUUUUGACGAGAAUUAGCUUUUAUCAUUUAGCUAAUCGCGACGUAAUUCCGUCGUGGAUUUUUUCAACUGCGUCGUAACGUGUUAUAAACAGAGAACGGGAUACGGCGUAUCGUCGACACAAAAACCGAUCGUCACGACGUUUGACCCUGUCACGUUUCGACGACUCGAAUUCGUGUUUACCAUGUGAACUCGGACGUCGCGUCUCAGGGCAGCGAUUACGGUUCUUAUUUUUACCGCCGUAUUAUCUCGCUCUUACUCACGUUUCGGAGAUGAGAUUGGGCGGAAAAAAGGUACGGGAACCACGUCCUCGUCCGAGGUCAGAAUUCAGACUAGACGAAAAUUCUCGACGAUGUUGGAAGAGCUACGUGAAUAAUAACCGUGGUUAUAAUACGCGUGGAAGUUCCCACCUCGUACGAACACACCUUCUGUCUAGUGUCGUCCCCUCCCACCCUUCCUGCGUUCGAGUCGUCGUCUCUAAUUCCUCUGGGAAACCCGUCGUUCCUCAGUCUGUCUGUCUAUCCGUCUGUCUGACGUUUUGUGUUAGUCACUCACCGCACCACCGCCACCCCUUCCUAUUACCAGACUUCGCAGACGUCGACAUUCCUCGUUCAUUCUCCUCUCUGUUUUUGUAUUACGUAACUCCCCACCAUUAUCCUUUUAUCCGUCUUUUCUAUUCCGAGAGGAAAAUACGAAGGGUUCGACUAUCCGUCGAUACUCGCGUACCUCCUAGACAAAGAUUGAAGAAAAAAAAAAAAUACUGAAAUACUAAAAUACUAAAAUAUCGAAGAUCCCGUUCUUGUAUACGCGUACGCGCAUCACUCCUACGUAAUCUUCUCUACAUCUGUACAAAUUUUUCUCUCUGAGAUCGGAGAAAAAGGAGGAGGAGAAGGAGGAAUCAGAUGUUAGUGCCACACCCAUGUUGUGGUUAUAUUUAGAUGAUCGUGUAGACACCUUUACAUAUUUAUGCCGGUAGUCCCACGCCAAUCGAACGAUCGAGUCGGUUCUUGAAGUCUCGAGUAUCGCGGUGCGGCACCGGUUACGUCGAAUGAUUUAUUUUUGUACUUUCUUAAUUUCGUCCAAUCAUUAGCCGGUUCGAGUUUGUCGAAUGGGAUAAUCGUUACGUAAAGCUAUAUUUCGUUGCGCGUUCGUAUCGAGAACUGUGUACUCUUGUUAUCUACUCUCGAAUGUUCGAGGUUCUGCACCUCGUGCGCCGCAGUCCGAUACGAAGGGAAGAAGCAAACCAGUCGGGUUGGGUUUCGGUUGAGACGCAGGUACCUUUUUUUGUCGUACAUUUCGGAUGAAUUUGCGUCGAAAGGGACGAUAGGACAUUAUACCUACUUUGUGUGUAGAGUUGAGUUUCGUGGGGGUUGAAACAACCCCUUGGUUCGCGGACUGGAUAUAAGAAGAGGAUUUAUAUCGGUCGUACUGCGGCUCCAAAAAUGUCUGUGCGGCUGGUGCAGCUCCCCCAGUAAAGUUGGCGACUGAAAAAAAAAAA